AUUGAACGCUGGCGGCAGGCCUAACACAUGCAAGUCGAGCGGAUGAAGGGAGCUUGCUCCUGGAUUCAGCGGCGGACGGGUGAGUAAUGCCUAGGAAUCUGCCUGGUCGUGGGGGAUAACGUCCGGAAACGGGCGCUAAUACCGCAUACGACCUGAGGGAGAAAGUGGGGGAUCUUCGGACCUCACGCUAUCAGAUGAGCCUAGGUCGGAUUAGCUAGUUGGUGGGGUAAAGGCCUACCAAGGCGACGAUCCGUAACUGGUCUGAGAGGAUGAUCAGUCACACUGGAACUGAGACACGGUCCAGACUCCUACGGGAGGCAGCAGUGGGGAAUAUUGGACAAUGGGCGAAAGCCUGAUCCAGCCAUGCCGCGUGUGUGAAGAAGGUCUUCGGAUUGUAAAGCACUUUAAGUUGGGAGGAAGGGCAGUAAGUUAAUACCUUGCUGUUUUGACGGUACCAACAGAAUAAGCACCGGCUAACUUCGUG
rnacentral:rRNA from 1 species